GCGCGUGUGGCGAAAUUGGUAGACGCACCAGACUUAGGAUCUGGCGGUUCAUCCAUGGGGGUUCGAGUCCCUUCACGCGCA
rnacentral:tRNA from 1 species